rnacentral:rRNA from 1 species
GACGAACGCUGGCGGCGUGCCUAAUACAUGCAAGUAGAACGCACAGUUUAUACCGUAGCUUGCCACACCAUAGACUGUGAGUUGCGAACGGGUGAGUAACGCGUAGGUAACCUGCCUGGUAGCGGGGGAUAACUAUUGGAAACGAUAGCUAAUACCGCAUAAUAUUAAUUAUUGCAUGAUAAUUGAUUGAAAGAUGCAACUGCAUCACUACCAGAUGGACCUGCGUUGUAUUAGCUAGUAGGUGAGGUAACGGCUCACCUAGGCGACGAUACAUAGCCGACCUGAGGGUGAUCGGCCACACUGGGACUGAGACACGGCCCAGACUCCUACGGGAGGCAGCAGUAGGGAAUCUUCGGCAAUGGACGAAAGUCUGACCGAGCAACGCCGCGUGAGUGAAGAAGGUUUUCGGAUCGUAAAGCUCUGUUGUAAGAGAAGAACGGGUGUGAGAGUGGAAAGUUCACACUGUGACGGUAUCUUACCAGAAAGGGACGGCUAACUACGUG